AUGUCCUUAAUUGGCAGCAACAGCAGCAAACGUCGCCGGCGCGUCACUGUACAUCAUGUAUCCUGCGUCUGCCCUGGCGCCGGAACGGCGGCGGCCUCCCCCUGGGCGUCCAUGAACGAAGAGUUGGUUCGCCUGAUCGCCUGGCGGGUGCUAGCGGGCGACUUGCUGGACUACGUCCGCUUCCGCGCAGUCUGCCGCCAUUGGCGGUCCACCACCGUCUGCCCGCGCGGCUGCGGCGUCAUCGACCCACGGUUCCACCCGCGCCGUUGGAUGAUGUUCCCGGAGGGCCACGGCCUGCACCCAUCCCACACCAGGCCCCGCGACUACAUCCGCUUCCUCAACCUUGACACGGGGAGGUUCGUCCGCGCCAAGCUCCCGGUCUUCAAGGACCACUGCGUCCUAGACUCGGUGGACGGACUGCUGGUCAUGCACAGGGACGAGGACACGGCCAUCCGCAUCCUCCACCCUUUCACCGGCGAUGUCGUGGACCUCCCGCGGCUCGCGACCCUUGCCCCGCACAUCGACCUAGGCCUGCCCGGGGCCUUUCUCCCGGCGCAGAGUUGCUACUACCUCAGAGGAGUGUGCGCUUCCGUCAGCGUCAGCGCCGCCGGAGCCGUCGCCGUCUUGCUCGCGCUGCAUCGGAUGGGCCGCGUCGCCUUCGCCACCUCCCGGGAUCAGCAAUGGCACAUGUCAACCUGGACAUUUAGUUACAUCACACCCCUGUCGUUUCAAGGCAAACUAUACAUGGCGCGAAUGAGCUUCGAUCCCAAAGAGGACUCGGAUAUAUUCCAAGUUGAUCCACCACCACCACCACCACCACCACAGGACCAUCAUCAUGUGGAUGUGACAUUACCACCACCCAAGUUGAUUGCCACAAUUCCAACCGACAAGCUCACCCGUCCCAUCCACCUAGUAGAAUGCGACUCGCAGACCCUUGUGACCGGCUACACCGAUAGAUCCUGGUCGCAUAUGAUCAUCCAUAGGCUUGCGGAUCUAAUUACAUUGGAAAACCCGAUUCCGGUAACAAGCAUUGGGGACAAGGCUUUGUUCCUUAACAAUGUGAGGAGCAUGUCUGUUUCCUCCAAUGGGGCAUUGCCCACUGUUGUCGGCAACACCAUUGUUCAGGCCAGCCUGGCAAAUGGGUCACUUACCGAGUACAACCUUAGUACCGACGCUUGGUCACGGCCUAUGGAUGGUUGCAUCCUACGCGGACCGGUAUUCGGCCCGUGUUGCCUUAUCUACCAUAUCUACACCUGCUGCAUUCGUGAAUACUGGAACAAAGGACAACUAUGCAACCGGAACAAACCUUGCAACUGGCGAGUGAAGGGAAAGUGGCGCACAGGGGUAUAG
rnacentral:rRNA from 1 species